rnacentral:lncRNA from 1 species
UAUCAAGUCCUGACUGGGUUACUGCCAUUUUGAAUGUGCUUCAUUUACAGAUUUGUUGAAAUCAAUAAGUUCUUUAUCUCAACUUUCUUUUUCCUUCUGAAGCCCUUGUGUUUCCUGUCAAAGACUAUCCAUAACUUCCUUUAACUUUUGCUCUUCUUUCUCUUUUUCCUUUUCAAGGGAAUUGUUUCUUAUUGUUUGAGUUGUGAUCUUCUCAGUCUUGGCAGGUAUACUUUCAAAUGCUUCAGCCUUUUCUACUUCUUUUUGAAGUUGUUUCUCCAGUUUUAUGCCUUUACUAGUAGCAUUCUUUAACUUUUCCCUAACUUGAACAUCUUCCAAAUCAGCUGUGUAUAGUUUUCUUUAUUCUCCUCAAUGAAUUUUGUAAUUUUUUGAGUUUCUUUCUGAUAUCUUGUAGAGCUUUACUCGUUGCUUUCAUUUCAUUUGGCACUAUAUUGUGCCUCUCAUUAUUUUCUUUGGUAUCUUCAUGAAUCUUUUCCUUUUGCAUCUCCAUUACAGUAAUUCGUUUCUGCAAAUCAUAAAUUUAUCUCCUCUGUGUUCAUUUAGUAUUUCAACUCUUCGACACAGGACUUUCAUAGGUUCAUUUAGUCAUCCACAACCAAUUAUAUCUUCUAAAUAUUCAAGCAUACUCUAAUCAUGUUCAGUCUAGCCUUUUGGUUUCAUCACAGCUAUUUGUUCAACUUCACCCUACAAUAUUAAAAACCUGGAGUCUCUGUGGUGGUGGCUGGGCCAUUGGCAUGACCAGAUGGUGGCUCUG